rnacentral:rRNA from 1 species
AGGGUUUGAUCAUGGCUCAGGAUGAACGCUGGCGGCGUGCUUAACACAUGCAAGUCGAGCGAACCUUCGGGUUAGUGGCGGACGGGUGAGUAACGCGUGAGAAUCUGCCCUCAGGAGGGGGAUAACGGUUGGAAACGACCGCUAAUACCCCAUAUGCCUACUGGUGAAAUGAAUUUCGCCUGAGGAUGAGCUCGCGUCUGAUUAGCUAGUUGGUGAGGUAAUGGCUCACCAAGGCUUCGAUCAGUAGCUGGUCUGAGAGGAUGAUCAGCCACACUGGGACUGAGACACGGCCCAGACUCCUACGGGAGGCAGCAGUGGGGAAUUUUCCGCAAUGGGCGAAAGCCUGACGGAGCAACGCCGCGUGAGGGACGAAGGCCUCUGGGCUGUAAACCUCUUUUCUCAAGGAAGAAGAUAUGACGGUACUUGAGGAAUAAGCCACGGCUAAUUCCGUGCCAGCAGCCGCGGUAAUUC